rnacentral:rRNA from 2 species
GCAAGUCGAACGGUGACACGGAGCUUGCUCUGUGGGAUCAGUGGCGAACGGGUGAGUAACACGUGAGCAACCUGCCCCUGACUCUGGGAUAAGCGCUGGAAACGGCGUCUAAUACUGGAUAUGUGACGUGACCGCAUGGUCUGCGUCUGGAAAGAAUUUCGGUUGGGGAUGGGCUCGCGGCCUAUCAGCUUGUUGGUGAGGUAAUGGCUCACCAAGGCGUCGACGGGUAGCCGGCCUGAGAGGGUGACCGGCCACACUGGGACUGAGACACGGCCCAGACUCCUACGGGAGGCAGCAGUGGGGAAUAUUGCACAAUGGGCGCAAGCCUGAUGCAGCAACGCCGCGUGAGGGAUGACGGCCUUCGGGUUGUAAACCUCUUUUAGCAGGGAAGAAGCGAAAGUGACGGUACCUGCAGAAAAAGCGCCGGCUAACUACGUGCCAGCAGCCGCGGUAAUACGUAGGGCGCAAGCGUUAUCCGGAAUUAUUGGGCGUAAAGAGCUCGUAGGCGGUUUGUCGCGUCUGCUGUGAAAUCCGGAGGCUCAACCUCCGGCCUGCAGUGGGUACGGGCAGACUAGAGUGCGGUAGGGGAGAUUGGAAUUCCUGGUGUAGCGGUGGAAUGCGCAGAUAUCAGGAGGAACACCGAUGGCGAAGGCAGAUCUCUGGGCCGUAACUGACGCUGAGGAGCGAAAGGGUGGGGAGCAAACAGGCUUAGAUACCCUGGUAGUCCACCCCGUAAACGUUGGGAACUAGUUGUGGGGUCCAUUCCACGGAUUCCGUGACGCAGCUAACGCAUUAAGUUCCCCGCCUGGGGAGUACGGCCGCAAGGCUAAAACUCAAAGGAAUUGACGGGGACCCGCACAAGCGGCGGAGCAUGCGGAUUAAUUCGAUGCAACGCGAAGAACCUU